UCAUUUUUUUCGGUCUCAUAGGUCCCAUGAGCAAUGGCGACUUACGAGCUCUAUAGAGUUUUUAAAUGAAAUUCAAAUUCGUAAUUCUAACAACUUCUACACGUCACAUUCCCCCAGCACAUAGACAAGAUAGCAGAACUAGGCUCAACUGCAAACUUACUGCAUUGCUUGAUUGGGCCUCAGGCAUCUCUGGUGGGUCCUGCGUUCCAAGUUCGAGAAGGUCAGGUGAUGAUUCCAUGGAGCUGUCCAUGGAAGGAGUCAUAGAAUUGCCAAAUAUCGAUACGCCGAAGUUUUCUAAUAAAGGUGGUGCGGAUGUGGGUGUCGUUCUCCAUUGACAUGGUGGACAUCCAGACGUUACAUACAGGGGAUGCGUUCGUUUCAGGUGACGAUAAAAUGAGUUAAAAACUCUGAACUCUUGCUCACAGCCAUCAAUCCCACAGAAAACCCAAAAUUCUGCAUUACGACCAUGUGUGACAUUGAUGUGGCUAAGAAGAUUCUUCAAUCUAAAAGCCACAAAAAUGAUACAGAUCAUGCAGCGCCACACCGACAUGUCUUCUGACGAGGUUGAUCUGUGAUUUUGGCGGUUCUAGGGUUUCACUGCUGGGCUACCCUGCUUCCUGUUUGGCCUUCCUCCCGAUCUCCCGAUUGGUUAACCGUCAAAGCAAUUGUGUAAAAAAAACAUGUAUAUUAUUACAUAUAAGACAACGUAGAAUUCACAAACAAUCCUCAAGAUUCUCUGAAAAAAAAAAAAUAUAUAUAUAUAUUUUAAAUCUUCUGCGCCGACUGUCCGUCACAUCUGAAUGACGUCAGUGAGGUGAACAAACUCGGCGCCAAAACGGGACUGACGCAGUAAGGAAAAGUUAUCGACGACGACGAGUCAAUUUCAACUGAACGCAAUUUUAACGGAUAUUCAGAGCUGGAGAACUACGGCGCAGCUGUCGAGCAUGGAUGACUUGGAUGUCACAACACUGUCUGUGUUACAAGCUGCUGAUGUUGAUGAAGGGGUUUUAAAAACCCUCUCUCGGGAGGAUCUUUUGGAUCUUCUUCCUGGACCACAGAACUUUCUGCGAAGAAAGAAGUUGUGGGAUCACAUUCAUCCAAAGGAACAGAGUGAGAAUGCAGUGAGAGAAGCCAUUGAUCAGCCAUCCAUGUUGCCAAGCCAGCCAUCCACACAUGCCAUGUUACCAAGCCUGCCAAGCCAGUCAUCCACAAGUGCCAUGUGGCCAAGCCCGCCACGGAC